rnacentral:rRNA from 1 species
GCUCAACCGGGGAGGGUCAUUGGAAACUGGGAAACUUGAGUGCAGAAGAGGAGAGUGGAAUUCCACGUGUAGCGGUGAAAUGCGUAGAGAUGUGGAGGAACACCAGUGGCGAAGGCGACUCUCUGGUCUGCAACUGACGCUGAGGAGCGAAAGCGUGGGGAGCGAACAGGAUUAGAUACCCUGGUAGUCCACGCCGUAAACGAUGAGUGCUAAGUGUUAGGGGGUUUCCGCCCCUUAGUGCUGCAGCUAACGCAUUAAGCACUCCGCCUGGGGAGUACGGUCGCAAGACUGAAACUCAAAGGAAUUGACGGGGGCCCGCACAAGCGGUGGAGCAUGUGGUUUAAUUCGAAGCAACGCGAAGAACCUUACCAGGUCUUGACAUCCUCUGACAACCCUAGAGAUAGGGCUUUCCCUUCGGGGACAGAGUGACAGGUGGUGCAUGGUUGUCGUCAGCUCGUGUCGUGAGAUGUUGGGUUAAGUCCCGCAACGAGCGCAACCCUUGAUCUUAGUUGCCAGCAUUCAGUUGGGCACUCUAAGGUGACUGCCGGUGACAAACCGGAGGAAGGUGGGGAUGACGUCAAAUCAUCAUGCCCCUUAUGACCUGGGCUACACACGUGCUACAAUGGACAGAACAAAG